rnacentral:rRNA from 1 species
UACAGAGGUCUCAACCGUUGUUCGGAUUCAUUGGGCGUAAAGGGCGCGUAGGCGGUGGGGUAAGCGUGCGGUGAAAGCUCGGGGCUCAACCCCGAGUCGGCCGUGCGAACUGCUCGACUGGAGCAUGUCAGAGGCGGGUGGAAUUCCGGGUGUAGCGGUGGAAUGCGUAGAGAUCCGGAAGACACCGGUGGCGAAGGCGGCCCGCUGGGGACAUAGCUGACGCUGAGGCGCGACAGCGUGGGGAGCAAACAGG